CCCAGCGGGGGGCUGGGCCCGGCCCCCGCUCCGCUCCGCCGGACGGGACGGGCUGGAGGAGGAGGAGGAAGGCGGCGGGGACCGGGAGCGGGCCCGCGGCAAGUUUCGCCCGGAGUGGGGAAGUUGGACGCGGCCCGGCGGGACCCGGCCAGAUUCCUGGAAAUCUGAGGAGCAGUCUUCGGCGGCCAAAGAAUGCAAUUCUCCCCAGAGGUGUGGGUAUCUCGCGUGAAGGGGACUGAAGUAGGAUCAGCUGGUAUCCAAGAAGCACAACUUCAAGACAUUCAGGAGUACUUCGGAGUGAACUGGCAGGAAGCCUUGCAAUACCACGGUGGCAAUAACAGUGGCUGCCCUCUGGAGAUGCAAAAACUCAGCUUUAUUUUGAACUUCUUUCUUACACCUCCCAACCUGUGCGCAAAGGACUUAACAUUGAUUUGGAUUCAUGUGGUAUAAAAUAGUCAUGGGAGCUCUAGACUGUUGCUCAGGAUAAACAAUCAAACUGUUCUGGUGAGUGCUGCACUUUACACCUUCGCACCUGAGUAUGGUCAUACUGAGGAAGCGACCAGCUCUGCUGAAAAAAUCUAUGAGCUUGAGACAUUUGUAAAUAACAGGGUUGUUAGAAAGUCAGAAGACUAACCUUGCGCUAUGUUAGGGUAACUGUAGGACCAAUAAAAUGAACGUUUGCAACUCAAGAAAAGCUUGAAUUUCAAAAUGCCUACUGUACCAACCCAGGCAUGACUUAGCAGUAAUUGCUGUAGGAUAUCUAAAUUAAGCAAUGAGGUUUCUGCUGUGGCAACUGUUAGGAAAGACUUUGCAAUGCACAUCAAUUCCUCCAGGACCCAAAUGCACUUUUCCUUUCAAGGGGGAGUUGUGGGCAUUCAGAUCCUUGCAGACAAGUUACUGAGGCCCUAAAUGAGCAAAACGCUUUUAAGCGUAUCCUUAAGCACUUUGUUGUUGGUGAAGGGGAGACAUAAGCUCUUCAUUAUCUGUGCUGAACAGGGAGCUGGGAGGCUCCUUGAGUAUCUUUUAAAACACUUAUAUGCUAGCUGUGCCCUGAAAUGCAGAGCCCGAGAAGCUGCUGCCUUACCCUCUAGCUGCGCUUGUCUUCUGUGAAUAUGCUCACUAACCUUCAAGUAAAUGGUGCCUUGCAUCUGACUCUUUGUGGGAAUUUUGCCUAUCCCUAGUGCUUAUCAGUUUAGAAGAGUACGCAUAAUGCUCUAUUCAGCUUUAACUGGAGCACUUUAGAUAUGGUCCAUCUUAUCCAAAUACUGCUGAGCAUGGGAUUAUUAAAUAAUCUGAAAGACAAAUGGAGGAUGAAGCCAGGAGGGGAACUGACUUUGUCUUUUAGAUGCUCGCAUCUGUACCAUAACCAGGCGUUGGUAGAUACUUCAGCCCUAUCAGCACAGCCAGCACUUUGGAGUCCCCCGCAGGAGGCAGAAAAAGAAAGAAAAGAACCCACCCCGUCCCCUCCCCAAAGCAGCAGGCAAUCGCAGCUGUUCUCAAGGAGAAGGUAUGUCUUGUGGGGAUCUGUUCAAGCUCUCAAAUACCACCCUAAGAAGCUAUAUAAGGUGCUAGAGCCUCUUCAUGAACCCUGACCGCCUCCAGUUCACAACCAGAACCAGCAAUACGCUGCAACAGUGAAAGAAAACAUUGUUCACAGGAAAAAUCCACACACCUGGCAAGGUGCGGAUCUGCCCCACCACAUCCAAAGCUUAGAGUAUUCUGAUCUCAAAAGGUCCAACCCGUGUCCUUCUGGGCAGCUAAGAGACGGUUGCGAGUAACUGAUGACAAAAAUAGCAGAUGAGUCUUUCAGGGGAGGAACUCUGUUCCUUGUUCAGCUGCACAGCAGUGCAGCCAGUUCUCAGUAGGCACAAAGUGGAUGCCCCAUCGCUGUCUAACUAGCGAUUCUUGCUGGAUGUUGAUCUACGCAAGAGCUGUUUAAUCUUCCUUUCCUGAGCAAACUCACUUAGAAACUAGCCACUGCCCAAUGGCAAGCUAAAGGAUGAAAACCAAUUGCGUGAGAGCUGACUCCAGCUAAAACUGGUAUUAUUUGUCAGGGUACCUGAAACAUUUUGAAGGCUUGCGUCGUUGAUGCCACUGCCCUUUUUUAAACUGCCGUACCAACAAUCAGUCAAUUUAGUUUCUAAUCUGAGAGUUCUUUUAGCCUACCUGCUGGUAGUAAACUCCUUUAUAGCAGUGAAUAACGCCUUACAAUGGUUCUGGUUGGCUAGGAAAACCCGCACCACCCUGGCAAUCCACCACCAGUGAAUUAGGCUCCCGCCAGCCUCAUUUCUGUCACUUCGUGCGAGCACUGUGCUAUACCUAGUCCAAAAAUACAACCCAGUACUUCAGGGAACUCCAUCACAUCACCUCAGCAGCAGAGACUGCUGUAAGUCAGUCAGAGCAGACUUCUGCUCUUGGCACUGGCUUCCCACAGCAAUACCAAGUCAAUUAAUUUGACUCCCAGUUCUUGUCAGUGGUCUGAGAUCCAGAUCCUUUAAAAAUCCUCCUAAAGCUCUGUGAUGACAUUUGGCUGACAGCUUUGCCCUUCAGGUAGAGCUGAGCUUUCUAUAAUAAGGUGCAGUUAUUUGCACAAGAGACAGAGAUUUCUUGCAGGAAGAUCUUUAGUUUGUGGGAUUAAUUGCCAUGCGAACUAAAUAACAUCAAAAUCUUCACCUGAUUUUUGAUGCAUGCACAAGGCAUGCUUUUGAGGCUCUGCUGUCUCUAGUAUAAACGCAGUCGAUGUGAAGGAGUAUUGACAAAAGCUGUAGCAGGGGAGGGGAAGCAGGGCUGGUCUAUACUGGGACCAGUUGAUGUUGGUCAAUGGAAGUAGGUAGUCAGCAGGCAGUCAAGUCAAAUGGGUUCCAGACAUCAGAAUUUCUUAAGUCAGUUCCUUCAAUCUGUGCCAACAGCGUGGGAGGAGGUAUUGUGGAAGCAGGAAACAAAUCUGCUUUUCGUCCAGAUAAGGCCAAAAAAGAAGGAACUCUCCAAAAAUGUGAGACAUAAGCAUGAGUUUUAUCAAGGACCGUGUUCCCCCAACUGCAGCUCUAGCAUCCAGCCUUACUGCUUGCCCUCUUAUAACCUUUCUUGUGCCUUCUUGAUGGGAGUUUUUUAUUCCAUAUUAAAACACUGUCCACUGGCAAGAAUGAGGCUGAACCCCCCUGUAUACUACGUGCAUUCCUGGAUAUCACAUUUCAAAAAAGUUCCAGUAGAGCUUGAAAACCUACAGGAAAAAGUCACAAGGAUGAUGAGAGGAACGCAAUGGCUUUCAUGCUAGGUAAGGCUGUAUAGGGUAGGCCCUUGCAUCUUGGAAGAAAAACAAUAGGUAUUGAAGUGACAGAGGUCUAUAAAACUGUGAAUAGCAUGGAGGCAAAUAGGGAACAAUCAUACUCUGCUUCUCAUUAAAAAAGAACUAAAAAGAACUAACCAGCAUCAAAUGAAAUUAUAAUAUUUUGUAUUCUAAAAGAUAUACUAGAGAACAUGUAUUUAAACUAUGUAAUGUCGUUUCACUAUGUAUCAGAGGUCAAAAGUGUAUGUAAAUGGUAUAGGAACAGGUCCAUUGAUGGCUAUUAAAAUGAAGACUCAGAUGCAACCUUUUGCACUGGAGGUUUCUAAAGCUUUGAUUUUUCAUAAGCUGGGAAGAAAUGUCAGGGUAAAGACUGGUAAAUAAAUGUCCCAUUUCUUAAAUCGUUCGGUAAGGUAAAUGACCAUUUCCAACACUGGAAGAAUGGGCAAGAAUGACCAAUUUGUGUAUGAUCAUCCUGUUGUCCCAACCAUUAUUGUGGAAUGGGGACCCCCACUCCAGUA